rnacentral:lncRNA from 1 species
AUGACAAAACCAAACCAAGGACAGAGGAGAGGAAAGAUAGAGAAUGUUGGGGGGGGGGUACACAGGAGGUGGACACCCACAUAUAAGGAAAACCGACAGGGAGCAGGGGAGCCGAGAGGGGUUGGGGUGCACAGCAAGGGGGUGACAGGAGAGACCAAAAGUUUGAGAUGCGGGAGGGAAGGAAACAGAACCGGGUUAGGAGGAGAACCUCAGGAACAGCAUCUCUCCCCCACCACCACCACCACACACCCCAAGGAAGAUCUUGGGGAUAACCUUGACUCCUGGAUCCCCAAGAUCUUCCCACUCCUGAGGAGGGGAUCCAAACCCUUCCCCAACCCCCACGGCUGGCUAUUUCAGGACUGGAGUCUGCAGCACAGGCCUUGUGGGAGCCUCAAAAUGUCACUCCACCCUCUGCUUUGCUGCGAGUGCGCGGGGACAUUUCUCAGGCCGAGACAGAUCUGAGCCUUUCAAAGUCAACGGCUGCCCCAGGGAAUCUGACUCAAGCUUCAGACCCGGCCCCACCCUCACCUAUAAGGAAAAUGGAGCUAAAAUCCUCCUCCUACAAGCCUUUCUGGGAGGGGAAAUAUGCUGAUCGUGCAUUUCUUUUCUUUUUUUUUUUUUUUUUUUUAAUCAAUAGUUUCCUAAGCGCCCACAUGCAGGCCUGCCUAUGCAAGUCCCCACAGUGCUAGGUGCCAGCAGGGGGACAGGGCAGUCAACGCGAAAGAAAAUCCCCUGUCCACCCGGGCUUCUGCACGCCAGCGGGCAAGCUGGGUCAAGCAUGCUUUAGUAGCACGACCCACGGCCCUCCGGCCCUCCGUCUGCGGUCCCUGAGGUCACCCCCUCCCCCUCUGCAGAUGGGGAAACCUAGACCCGAAACUAAGGACGGGUGCUAACGAUGGGCAACUGACUGUCUGCAUUCCCUGCAAACCCACGCUGGAACAUUCUCGAACCUUCUCCCGAGAGUCGCCGUCCCCGCCCUAUGAUUGUCCAUGGUGCUGGGGGAGGGGAAGCCCAAGUGUGGGCAGAGGCUCCUCUCUCAGCACAAAACUGCCCCCCCGCCCCCCACUCUGCAAACGAGCCCCCGGAGUCGGAGGUCUCCAGAGGCAACACACACGUGUCUCGGUUCCACCUUCGAGAACGCGAGCUGUCCUGGCCACGGCCCGGGCAGGUGGGCCAACGCCCUUCCUUCUCGCGCCCCCCGCCACCGCCCGCAGGGGACCCCCCUCUCUCCGGGAGGGGGUCCCCGAGGGUCCAGCCGCCAGUGCCCAGCACCGCGGGGCCGGGAUGGGGCCCGCGCGGGGGUGGCGGAGGGGCCCCCGGCCGCCGCGCUUACCAGUAGACGACUCGGACGGCGAGGGCCAUGGCUGGGGACCGCAGCGCGGGCGGGGGCGGACGGCGACCCACCUGCGGCGCGGCC